AGUCUGCUUUUGGACUGAGUUUUUGUUUUGAUUAUUCAGUAGUUUUCCCGUGUGUUUGGCUCUAUUUGUACCGUUUUCUUUCCUUGUUUUUGUGCUGGAUCUUCUUGUAUCCAAUAAUAUGCUAGUACUCCUUAUAAUUGAUUAUUUUGUUGUGUGUGUAAAACUAGAUAAAAGAGAAGGGUUCCAAUGUAGACAUCCCUGACAUCCACAAAGAUACUCACACAAAGAGCACGGGUGCCUAUGUGGAUCAGCGGUCUGAGACUACUCAGAAGUUAUAUGAUGACUACAUUGAGAAAUUUCUGGAAAAACAUACCGAGUAUUCCAACCGUGAUGAAAUACCCGGCAUCAUCCGACGAGAUAUUUGGCAGGAGGUAUCUGGACCCGGGACGAAGAAGACCAAAUAUGGUUUUGGGAAGUUAGCCCCCAACGUGAGACAUGAAAACCUUAUCCAUAUUCCUACACCUGAAGAAAGGUCUCGUCUUGUACCACUGCCCCCUGCGGCGCAAGCAGAAAUUCAAAGAUUGACUCAGGAGUUGUAGGCACAAAGAGAGGAGCUAAAUAGGCGGGCCCAACAAGAUGAAGAGAGGCAUCAAAUGAUGCAGCAAAUGAUGGAGGAGCAAAGAAGAGAAAUGAGCGCGUUAAAGGAAAUGUUAGCUUCUUCGUCCAGGAAUGCUCCAAUUGACGAAACUAAUCCUCACGAGGACUCAACUAAUUCUAAUAAUGGGGACACAGACGCAAAUUAGAUAACAAAGCAACUCUGUACAGUUUAGGGACUGAUUUUGCGUAACUCGGAUGGCGAAACAGUCUGAAGUGCAUGCAAAAGAGAAGACUUUAUGUUGAUCUGCUUAUGGCUGAAGCGCUAGGGUUUUGUUGGCUGAAGCGCUGAAGACUUUCUAUUCAUUUUGAUGCUGCUAAUGUGGUAAACUGUAUUUAUAGAAAAUCUAGCUUUGCUGCUAUUAAUUUAAUUGUCAAGGAUUGUAGGAAGUUAAUGACUAGGUUGACAAAUGUACAUGUUUUGUUUGUUGGUAGAACACAAAUUCUGGUGCUAACAAUAUGGCCUCUUUGACUAGUAUUAUAGGUAAUAGAAUUUGGGUAAUAGUAUUAUGGGUACAAUUUGGCCUCUUUCUGUUUCUGUAGUUGUUUGCUGUUCCGUGUAACAUUAAUGGCUGUGUUUCAGCUUGUUCUUAAUGAAUUAUGUUUAACCUCAAAAAAAUGUUGUGUAUCAUAUUGCUACUUUGGUAUAUUGCUACUUUGGUUGAUUAUAUUGUUUUGGGAUGCAAUGGUUUUGUAAUUGGCUUAAUAAUGAAUUAUGUGAGGGUAUAAAAUAAAUGAAUUUUCAGGUUUAAAGGGAUUGUGGAUAUUUUUGACGAGGUAAAAGUUAUCUCGUGGAAGUGGAGUGUGGAGAGAUUGAAAAUAGCCCCGUGUCUUUUUUACGAAUGGUUGUGGGAGCCCGGUAUUUGUUUCAAUAGUGGUUAGUGUUUCAGUUUUGGAGUGGGGCGCUGUUUUUGCUUUCCGUGUUUCCGUGUUUCUGUUUUUUAGUUCCUUUGCUGGGCUGUUUGUUUCUUUUUUUUUUUCUGGUUUGGCAGGCUGCCUCCCUUUUGGUUUUGAGGUGGGUGCUUUAGUUCUCCUUGAGGUGAAGCCCCUCCUCUGCUUGUACUUCUUGCUUGUUCUCUUUAGUUCUCCUUUAGUUCCUCCUGCUGUAUCUGUUAGUAAUUGGAAUUGGAGUUAGUUUUCAGCAGAGAAAAUCUGAGUUUGUAAUUGGCUGCCCUCAUGAGUUAAUUUUUAGGUAUUGUGCAAAGGCUUAAUUUUUAGUUUCUUUGUAAUUUGACUUGUUGUGUAGUGGAUUUUGCACACCUUGUGCUCAAUUCACUCCUUAUGUAGACCUUUGUAAUU